CAGGUUCAGGUCCGAGGUCAGGAGGAGAUGGGCCAAGAGCUUUGACCGGAGAAAGGCCCAGCAGACCAUCUUUGGCAGCUGACCGCUUGAUGGACUCCGCCGGCAUGCACGGCCUCCGACUCGGAUGCAUGAUGAGCUUCAGAGACCUCCAUUGGAUAGUUUGCAAACUGUCUUGCUUUCGGAGAAAGAAGGAAGGAUGAGAACAACAACAAAAACCAGAGCACAAAGGCAGAUUUUUCCUCGUGUAAUAGUCGUGGCCCCGCUUUUUUAAAGAGUAAAAAAUAGUGUGACUAUUA